CACGAAGGGGGCUAGCGUUGUUCGGAUUUACUGGGCGUAAAGCGCACGUAGGCGGAUCUUUAAGUCAGGGGUGAAAUGCCGGAGCUCAACUUCGGAACUGCCUUUGAUACUGGAGAUCUUGAGUUCGAGAGAGGUGAGUGGAACUGCGAGUGUAGAGGUGAAAUUCGUGGAUAUUCGCAAGAACACCAGUGGCGAAGGCGGCUCACUGGCUCGAUACUGACGCUGAGGUGCGAAAGCGUGGGGAGCAAACAGG
rnacentral:rRNA from 1 species